rnacentral:rRNA from 1 species
AACGAACGCUGGCGGCAGGCCUAACACAUGCAAGUCGAGCGCCCCGCAAGGGGAGCGGCGGACGGGUGAGUAACGCGUGGGAACGUGCCCUUUGCUACGGAAUAGCCUCGGGAAACUGGGAGUAAUACCGUAUGUGCCCUUCGGGGGAAAGAUUUAUCGGCAAAGGAUCGGCCCGCGUUGGAUUAGGUAGUUGGUAGGGUAAUGGCCUACCAAGCCGACGAUCCAUAGCUGGUUUGAGAGGAUGAUCAGCCACACUGGGACUGAGACACGGCCCAGACUCCUACGGGAGGCAGCAGUGGGGAAUCUUAGACAAUGGGCGCAAGCCUGAUCUAGCCAUGCCGCGUGAGCGAUGAAGGCCUUAGGGUUGUAAAGCUCUUUCAGUGGGGAAGAUAAUGACUGUACCCACAGAAGAAGCCCCGGCUAACUCCGUGCCAGCCGCCGCCGUAACAC